UGCCAUCUUCAGCAAACCCUAAAAAGGAAGAAAAGUAAGCACAAGUAUCUUAACAUAAAAAAGUUAGGUCAAGGUGUAGCCCAUGAGAUGGGGAAGUAAUGGGCUACAUUUUCUACAACUAGAACAUCCACGAAAUUCCUUAUGAAAUUA
rnacentral:rRNA from 1 species